rnacentral:tRNA from 1 species
UAUAUUCUAGUAUAAAUGUACAUAAAUUUUUGAAAUUUAAGGGAGUAAUUUAUUUUACUGAAUAUAA